rnacentral:rRNA from 1 species
UACGAAGGGGGCUAGCGUUGUUCGGAUUUACUGGGCGUAAAGCGCACGUAGGCGGAUCUUUAAGUCAGAGGUGAAAUCCCAAGGCUCAACCUUGGAACUGCCUUUGAUACUGGGGAUCUUGAGUUCGGGAGAGGUGAGUGGAACUGCGAGUGUAGAGGUGAAAUUCGUAGAUAUUCGCAAGAACACCAGUGGCGAAGGCGGCUCACUGGCCCGAUACUGACGCUGAGGUGCGAAAGCGUGGGGAGCAAACAGG